rnacentral:rRNA from 1 species
UUUGAUCAUGGCUCAGAUUGAACGCUGGCGGCAUGCUUUACACAUGCAAGUCGAACGGUAACAGGCCUUCGGGCGCUGACGAGUGGCGAACGGGUGAGUAACGCAUCGGAACGUGCCCAGUCGUGGGGGAUAACGCAGCGAAAGCUGUGCUAAUACCGCAUACGAUCUGCGGAUGAAAGCGGGGGACCUUAGGGCCUCGCGCGAUUGGAGCGGCCGAUGUCAGAUUAGGUAGUUGGUGGGGUAAAGGCCCACCAAGCCAACGAUCUGUAGCUGGUCUGAGAGGACGACCAGCCACACUGGGACUGAGACACGGCCCAGACUCCUACGGGAGGCAGCAGUGGGGAAUUUUGGACAAUGGGCGCAAGCCUGAUCCAGCAAUGCCGCGUGCAGGAAGAAGGCCUUCGGGUUGUAAACUGCUUUUGUACGGAGCGAAAAGGCUCCUCCUAAUACGGGGGGCUCAUGACGGUACCGUAAGAAUAAGCACCGGCUAACUACGUG